UCGUGUCGUGAGGAUGUUGGUUAAGUCCGCAACGAGCGCAACCCCUAUUGUUAGUUGCCAUCAUUCAGUUGGGCACUCUAGCGAGACUGCCGGUAAUAAACCGGAGGAAGGUGGGGAUGACGUCAAAUCAUCAUGCCCCUUAUGACCUGGGCUACACACGUGCUACAAUGGUUGGUACAACGAGUUGCGAGUCGGUGACGGCGAGCUAAUCUCUUAAAGCCAAUCUCAGUUCGGAUUGUAGGCUGCAACUCGCCUACAUGAAGUCGGAAUCGCUAGUAAUCGCGGAUCAGCACGCCGCGGUGAAUACGUUCCCGGGCCUU
rnacentral:rRNA from 1 species